rnacentral:rRNA from 1 species
AUCGGAGUCCGAUUUAGCCAUGCUAGUCGCACGGGCUUAGACCCGUGGCAUAUAGCUCAGUAACACGUGGCCAAACUACCCUACAGACCGCAAUAACCUCGGGAAACUGAGGCCAAUAGCGGAUAUAACUCUCAUGCUGGAGUGCCGAGAGUUAGAAACGUUCCGGCGCUGUAGGAUGUGGCUGCGGCCGAUUAGGUAGAUGGUGGGGUAACGGCCCCACCAUGCCGAUAAUCGGUACGGGUUGUGAGAGCAAGAACCCGGAGACGGUAUCUGAGACAAGAUACCGGGCCCUACGGGGCGCAGCAGGCGCGAAACCUUUACACUGCACGACAGUGCGAUAGGGGGACUCCGAGUGUGAGGGCAUAUAGCCCUCGCUUUUCUGUACCGUAAGGUGGUACAGGAACAAGGACUGGGCAAGACCGGUGCCAGCCGCCGCGGUAAUACCGGCAGUCCAAGUGAUGGCCGAUAUUAUUGGGCCUAAAGCGUCCGUAGCCGGCCGGACAAGUCCGUUGGGAAAUCGACGCGCUCAACGCGUCGGCGUCCAGCGGAAACUGUCCGGCUUGGGGCCGGAAGACCUGAGGGGUACGUCCGGGGUAGGAGUGAAAUCCUGUAAUCCUGGACGGACCACCAAUGGGGAAACCACCUCAGGAAGACGGACCCGACGGUGAGGGACGAAAGCCAGGGUCUCGAACCGGAUUAGAUACCCGGGUAGUCCUGGCUGUAAACAAUGCUCGCUAGGUAUGUCACGCGCCAUGAGCACGU